UACGAAGGGGGCUAGCGUUGUUCGGAAUCACUGGGCGUAAAGGGCGCGUAGGCGGCGCGACAAGUCAGGCGUGAAAGCCCCGGGCUCAACCCGGGAAUUGCGCUUGAUACUGUCGUGCUUGAGGCCGGGAGAGGAUGGCGGAAUUCCCAGUGUAGAGGUGAAAUUCGUAGAUAUUGGGAAGAACACCGGUGGCGAAGGCGGCCAUCUGGACCGGUUCUGACGCUGAGGCGCGAAAGUGUGGGGAGCAAACAGG
rnacentral:rRNA from 1 species